AGCGAACGCUGGCGGCAGGCCUAACACAUGCAAGUCGAGCGGCCGUAGCAAUACGGCAGCGGCAGACGGGAGAGUAACACGUGGGAACGCGCCCUUCGGUUCGGGAUAACCCAGGGAAACUUGGGCUAAUACCGGAUACGCCCUUACGGGGAAAGAUUUAUUGCCGAAGGAACGGCCCGCGUCCGAUUAGCUAGUUGGUGAGGUAAUGGCUCACCAAGGCGACGAUCGGUAGCUGGUCUGAGAGGAUGACCAGCCUCACUGGGACUGAGACACGGCCCAGACUCCUACGGGAGGCAGCAGUGGGGAAUAUUGGACAAUGGGCGCAAGCCUGAUCCAGCCAUGCCGCGUGGGUGAUGAAGGCCCUAGGGUUGUAAAGCCCUUUCAGCGGGGAAGAUAAUGACGGUACCCGCAGAAGAAGCCCCGGCUAACUUCGUGCCAGCAGCCGCAGUAA
rnacentral:rRNA from 1 species